rnacentral:rRNA from 1 species
GUCGAGAAUCUUUCACAAUGGGGGCAACCCUGAUGGAGCGACGCCGCGUGGAGGAUGAGGUCUUCGGAUUGUAAACUCCUGUCAUGCGUGAACAAGGUUGCUUGGUUAAUACCUGGGCAAAUUGAUGGUAACGCAAGAGGAAGAGACGGCUAACUCUGUGCCAGCAGCCGCGGUAAUACAGAGGUCUCAAGCGUUGUUCGGAAUCACUGGGCGUAAAGGGUGCGUAGGUGGCGUGGUAAGUCAGAUGUGAAAGCCCGGGGCUCAACCUCGGAACUGCAUCCGAUACUGCCAUGGUAGAGUACUGGAGAGGUGACUAGAAUUCUCGGUGUAGCAGUGAAAUGCGUAGAUAUCGAGAGGAAUACCAAAGGCGUAGGCAGGUCACUGGACAGUUACUGACACUGAGGCACGAAGGCCAGGGGAGCGAACGGGAUUAGAUACCCUUGUAGUCC